rnacentral:rRNA from 1 species
GCUGUGAGGCAUGCUGGAGGUAUCAGAAGUGCGAAUGCUGACAUAAGUAACGAUAAAGCGGGUGAAAAGCCCGCUCGCCGGAAGACCAAGGGUUCCUGUCCAACGUUAAUCGGGGCAGGGUGAGUCGACCCCUAAGGCGAGGCCGAAAGGCGUAGUCGAUGGGAAACAGGUUAAUAUUCCUGUACUUGGUGUUACUGCGAAGGGGGGACGGAGAAGGCUAUGUUAGCCGGGCGACGGUUGUCCCGGUUUAAGCAUGUAGGCUGGUUGUCCAGGCAAAUCCGGAUAAUCAAGGCUGAGGUGUGAUGACGAGGCACUACGGUGCUGAAGUAACAAAUGCCCUGCUUCCAGGAAAAGCCUCUAAGCAUCAGGUAACAUCAAAUCGUACCCCAAACCGACACAGGUGGUCAGGUAGAGAAUACCAAGGCGCUUGAGAGAACUCGGGUGAAGGAACUAGGCAAAAUGGUGCCGUAACUUCGGGAGAAGG